rnacentral:rRNA from 1 species
CUUUGCGACCAUAGCGUUUUGGACCCACCUGACUCCAUCCCGAACAAAGAAGUGAAACGAAACAGCGUCGAUGGAAGUGUGGGGUCUCCCAUGUGAGAGUAGAACAUCGCCAGGC